rnacentral:tRNA from 1 species
ACAUUGGUGGUUAAGGGGUAGAAUUCUUGCCUUACAUGCAGAAGGCUCGGGUUCAAUUCCCAGCCAGUGCA